GGCACUAUAGCCAAGUGGUUACGGCGACAGAUUCGAAAUCUGUUCCUCUUUGAGGGCGCAGGUUCGAAUCCUGCUGGUGUCG
rnacentral:tRNA from 1 species